GCGGGUGUCGUAUAACGGUUCAUUAUAUCAGCCUUCCAAGCUGAGGACGGGGGUUCGACUCCCCCUACCCGCU
rnacentral:tRNA from 2 species